rnacentral:rRNA from 1 species
CCUACGGGAGGCAGCAGUGGGGAAUAUUGCACAAUGGGCGCAAGCCUGAUGCAGCAACGCCGCGUGAGCGAAGAAGGUCUUCGGAUUGUAAAGCUCUGUCCUUGAGGAAGUAGGAAGUGACGGUACUCAAGGAUGAAGCCUCGGCAAACUACGUGCCAGCAGCCGUGGCAAUACGUAGGGGGCAAGCGUUAUCCGGAAUUAUUGGGCGUAAAGAGUACGUAGGUGGUUUUGUAAGCGCGGGGUGAAAGGCAGGGGCUUAACAAUUGUAAGCCUUGCGAACUGCAAGACUUGAGUGCAGGAGAGGAAAGCGGAAUUCCUGGUGUAGCGGUGAAAUGCUUAGAUAUUAGGAAGAACACCAGUGGCGAAGGCAGCAUUCGGGAGUGUUACUGACGCUGAGGUACGAAGGCGUGGGGAGCGAACAGGAUUAGAUACCCGAGUAGUC